UUUCAUCCCAUUGGCUGCUUCUGCCAACGCAGUUUCAAUUUCCUACUCCAUCGGCUUUGUCUUCCAGUCAGUGUGAAAGUCGGUUUUCCACGGAAUUCCCUAGAUAGUUUCGCUGUGAAAUAAAUGUUCACAAUUAAGAAACCCGGAAGUGGUAUUUUCUUCCAGUUGGCUCUGAUCCAUAACCUUCGCUUCAAGAUGAGAUUCCUGAGUGGGGGGGCUCUGUUGUUCUGGGCUCUUCCUUUACAGCUCCGGCCCCCACUUGGGGGCUAGAGGAGGAGGCCAGGGUCCCCUCACCUGUGUUUUAAACCCUUUCAUUGCAUUGGCCAGGAGGGCACGGUUCUGAGGGCAUUCGGCGCUUAUUGGCUCCAGGGGCCUCUUGGGCGGGUCUAAAGGGGCACAGGGACCUGAUCUCUUUUUUCCAUUGGUGCAAUCUAGACCCAACAUUUUCUCCUCAAGGGCAGUUUCAGACUCUUGACCAUCUCAAAGAUUGUAAAGGGCAACUCCUCCUUAAUUUUAUGCUUUAACACAUUCACUCUGUAGAUUAAACAUCAUGCAAUUUUCGGGAUCGUUUUGCAUUUUUAAAAAUCGGGCAAGGAUGUGAGAGUCCUAUCUUUGCUGCACUUGUAAUAAGGGAAAGGAAGUAGGUAUCCAGUGUUCUUUUCAGAAAAAGUGAUGUGAUAUGGCAUUUUCAAUGAGCCAAGUUUGCUCCGCUGGAAUUUUUCUUUUCUUUGGUACUGGGGAUCGAACUUGGGUUUUUGCACUUGUGCAACAGGCGGCGAAACUACUGAGCUAAAUCCCUGGCCCUGGAAUUUUUCUUUUGGACAUAUAAAACCAUUAGUGUUGUCACAAAGGUACUAAGACCAGGGUCCCAGCAGUCCAAGCUGCUCCCUCCUUUGGAAGACAGAUGCCCUCUCUAAAUGAAAAUGAAGACCUGAAAAUCAAAGAAGAAGGAAUGCAAUGGUGUUGAAGAAUAGGGAAUAAAUAAGUGUCUAAGAAAAGAAAUGGUGGACUAAACAGACCCUACAUUUGCAAGAAAAUAACCAAGAAUAACAGAAGAUGUUAAAAUAAGCAAAAAAGCCAUUUCAAUGCCUGAAUUAAACAGAGAAACAAAUGA